AAAAUAUAUAUUUGUUUAUUUCUCACAUCAUUUAAGAUAAAAGUAUAAAGAUAAGUAUUCUUAUUUAAUAAUAAUUUUUAUUUUGCAGCAUUCAAUUCUUGACAUAAAAUGUCCUGUCUUUGAAGCAGAUCAACUGAAAGAAAUGAAAUGCUACAUGGAAAAUUUUCCAUUUCCAUUUUACAUUAUCUUGAGGGAUAUUUCAUCAUUGCCAUUAGUUUUAGGGGAAGCAUUGCGUCAGUGGUUUGAAUUAGUAACAUCAGUCGAACGCUGAGAAUAACUUUUUUGUCUUUCAUAACACCUAUGUGUAUGUAUUAGAUUGUUCAUUUUAGUCUUUUUAUUGAUCAUACUCUAAUUCAUUAUUUGUAAAAUUAUUUAUGUUCCUAUUCACAGAUUAUUCAUACAUUUGAAAUGAGUGAAAUAUUUGUUUUUAGUUAUUUGCUUUCAUUUAAUACUGUAUUGUGAAUUUACAUUCUUUUAAAAAUUAUUACAACUUGUCUUUCUGUAUACAGUUUUUAUGUAUUGAUUAAAGCAAUAUAUAUAUAUAUAUAUAUAUAUAUAUAGUGGCAGCGUUUCAAAGCAGUCUUUUUAAAUUUGAUGUUGUUAUAACUUAACUUUUUGUAUUCUAAAUAUACACUAUUCUUUUUUAUGACCAUAUUUAGUAGAUGAAGAAAACUGAAUGUCUUCUGUACAUUAAAUGUUAUUGGAAAUUUAAUAUAAUGUUAUGUUUGUUUGUUCUGCUUGUUGAAUUUGAUUAGAAGAUCUGUGUAAUUCUUUACAUUGUUUAUUUAAAAUAUAACAAAAAUAUGAAAUUCCCAUUUAAAAAUUUAAAACCAAAUUAUAAUUUCUUUAAUCAGACUGAAUGAAGGUGCCAAAACUUGAUGUCUGUCACUAAAUAAAAACUUUUGUAAUUUUAUCUUUUUUGUUAUUUUAUAAAUUUAAUAAUUUUUAUUGUUUGUAAUAAAUCUAAUGUUUUUGAUAUCAUCGUAAAGGAAAGUUGAUAACUGAACUCAUGACAUUUUGCAUGCACAUCAUUUUUUAUUAAGAAAAAUGGAUGUUAAAAAUUGUAGUUUAAGUAUGUUUAAUGUAGUUGAUUAUUGUUCAACACUGUAUAACUGAUGUAAGUUGUAGUGUUGUAAAUUUUUUCUUCUUCAUGUGCAAGAAUUUAUUUUAAAAAACAAAGGGCUUCUAAAAUAUAUUUAAAGUUAAAAUAAUUUUAUCAGGUAUAAUUCUUUAUGUUGUGUUCUGCAGUGAUAUCAUUUUAUUGGUGAAAAAUUUCUUUAAUUUAGUUUAUAAUGAAUUAAAUAAACAUUUUUUACCCUUUCAUGUAGCAAUUUUUUGUUUAAUGUAAUAUGCAUGUAGAUGUUUCUCUUGAAUAUAUAAUAAAAUUUGUCAUUUUCUAA